rnacentral:lncRNA from 1 species
CAGAUGAAGGUCCUGCCGAGAAGGAGCGACCAGUCACGGCGCCUCCUGCCGGCGCUGAGGGGAGAGCUACUCUCUCGCCGGAUUAUCAACCACCGUUUCUCCUUGACUUUUUCUACUACGGAUCUCCAGACUGCAGGGACAAGAACGGUAAACCAAGGCGAGAAGGUGCAGCUUGCAUGGUGACUCCAAACAGACAAGCAAUCGGUGGGCCGACAGGCUGUUACGUAGGAAUAUGCCAGGGUGGCGACUGUGGUUCCAUUCGACGAUCAAGAUGCUCAACAUGGUGAC